rnacentral:rRNA from 1 species
AACGAACGCUGGCGGCAUGCCUAACACAUGCAAGUCGAACGAGACCUUCGGGUCUAGUGGCGCACGGGUGCGUAACGCGUGGGAACCUGCCCUUAGGUUCGGAAUAACUCCCCGAAAGGGGUGCUAAUACCGGAUAAUGUCUUCGGACCAAAGAUUUAUCGCCUUUGGAUGGGCCCGCGUUGGAUUAGCUAGUUGGUAGGGUAAAAGCCUACCAAGGCGACGAUCCAUAGCUGGUCUGAGAGGAUGAUCAGCCACACUGGGACUGAGACACGGCCCAGACUCCUACGGGAGGCAGCAGUGGGGAAGAGUGGACAAUGGGCGAAAGCCUGAUCCAGCAAUGCCGCGAGAGUGAUGAAGGCCUUAGGGUUGUAAAGCUCUUUUACCCGGGAUGAUAAUGACAGUACCGGGAGAAUAAGCUCCGGCUAACUCCGU